rnacentral:rRNA from 1 species
UACCCUGGUAGUCCACGCUGUAAACGAUGUCGAUUUGGAGUUUGUUGCCUAGAGUGAUGGGCUCGAAGCUAACGCGAUAAAUCGACCGCCUGGGGAGUACGGCCGCAAGGGUGAAACUCAAAUGAAUUGACGGGGGCCCGCACAAGCGGUGGAGCAUGUGGUUUAAUUCGAUGCAACGCGAAGAACCUUACCUGGUCUUGACAUCCAUAGAAUUCUGCAGAGAUGUGGGAGUGCCUUCGGGAACUACGAGACAGGUGCUGCAUGGCUGUCGUCAGCUCGUGUUGUGAAAUGUUGGGUUAAGUCCCGCAACGAGCGCAACCCUUAUUCUUUGUUGCCAGCGAUUUGGUCGGGAACUCAAAGGAGACUGCCGUUGAUAAAGCGGAGGAAGGUGGGGACGACGUCAAGUCAUCAUGGCCCUUACGACCAGGGCUACACACGUGCUACAAUGGCGUAUACAAAGGGAAGCGGAGGUGCGAGCUGGAGCGGAUCUCAUAAAGUACGUCUAAGUUCGGAUUGGAGUCUGCAACUCGACUCCAUGAAGUCGGAAUCGCUAGUAAUCGUAGAUCAGAAUGCUACGGUGAAUACGUUCCCGGGCCUUGUACACACCGCCCGUCACACCAUGGGAGUGGGUUGCACCAGAAGUAGAUAGCUUAACCGCGAGGGGGGCGUUUACCACGGUGUGAUUCAUGACUGGGGUGAAGUCGUAACAAGGUAACCA